rnacentral:lncRNA from 1 species
CACACACACGGGUGGAGCCAAUCUGGCACUUCCACUCAUGUGCCUGCGCAGUCUGCACUAUGGACAUGUUGAGCGGGCAGCUCCACCUUGCCACACCGGGGCUCUAGGUUACAUCACAUUCCCAAAUCCUCUGCAGCAUGGUAGAAAUGGCUCCUGGAAGGUAGAAACCUGGGAAAUUAGAGCUCCGGGGUAUAUCUGUUGAUGGAUCCAAGAGUAGGAAGUCAAGAAACUACUUCAUUGAAAGUCCACGAAAGCUCAUGCUGUAAUAAAUUUGUUAGUCUUUCAAGGUGUCACAAGACUCUUCGUUAUGUUUAAGGAGGGAACUGCUAGCAUAGGAGGCCACCAGGAAGAAGGACUCAGGUUCUGUUGCAUGACGUGAGUUCUAUAUUAACCUUGCAGGGAUUCAAGUCCCAGAUUGAUUGAUUUUAUUUCAUAAAAGUUAUACGCUGUUUACAGAAGGACAAAACAAUAAAAUCAAGAAAAAAUACAGCAAUAAACAUACAAAAGUUAAGACACUAAAACAGAAUAAAAUUAUGUGGUUAAGACAAAUGUUAAUUCUUCUUGGCUUCCGUUGAUAUCCAAAUAGUUUCAGAGGGUUAGUAAUGCCAGAGUUAACCACAGGGUUGAAUAUUACAACAGACUUGCAGAAUAUUUACUCACUUGGUACAUGUGAGAGUUGCCCACAGACCGCCUGGUAAGUGUGGGAUAUUGUUAUGAUUUUGAAUAACGCAUAGCUGGAAUAUAUAUAUAUGGACAAAACACCUCCUCCUCUCUCUCUCAUUUCCUCUACUUAUUGAUGCUGAAUUGGUGCCUCUUCCUAGUUUUCUUUUGCUUAGCCCACUGAAAUGACUGACACAGGUAUGUAGGAACAAGGGGUUACAGAAUUUUCUUAUGAAUUUUCUUACAAGCUUGUUCGCAAAGUGGCACUAUUAAAAAACAACAGUACUACUUCUCAAUGGUCUCAGCCCUUUCAAUGAAUGUAACUGAUAUAUUAAUAUUACAUUGAAGCCAGUGAGGUUCCCUUCCAGGUAAUAUGGCAUAUAGUUGUGUGGAUGCACUCAUAAGGUAGCAGAGUGCUCCUGGCCUCUGAAUAUUCCUCUUGCCUAUAGUUUCUUUUUCUCUCCCGCACCCCCAGUUCUUUUCUUUCUCGUGUCCCAUUCAUUCUCUGCCUGUGUAUGCAACAGGGUCUGGGUUUUAAAAACAAAACAAAGAAAAAUUCCACAUCAAGGAAACCCAAAUUAGAUGCUGAGAUGAAAUGAUGGAAAUUAAGUAAAUUUGCAUGUAAUUGCAUACUUUUUGCCUAGUUCAUUCUACUUCUAAGAUUCAGGUGUUGAAAGCAUUUAGUGUGUGUGUGUGCCUGUGUGUUAGAGGGGUGGGGUGGAUAGAGGAGGUGGCUUUCAAAGAAGGCUAGAUAAAAUUCACAAAGGAUAGGGCUAUCUAUGGCUGCUGGUCAUGAUGGCUCUAUGUAACCUCCAGGAUCAGAAACAAUAUGCCAUAGCAUACCAGUUGCCAGGAAGCAACACAGAGUGAAUUAUUGUAUUAAGGUGCUUCCAAAUGAGUGCUUGUUGUGGUGUUGGUGUUAGUAAAUGCAGCUCCCCUCCCCCAGCACCCACAUUUUUCCAUUUCUGGGGAAAAUCCAAUAAGCCGAAAAACCUAUUGCCAGGGGCCUACUUACAAUACCUCUGUGAUCUGUUUACAAUAUUAAUAAUGCAAGGGUGCCCUGGCUGGAGGCACCCUUAAUGUUUUCCUUGUAGACUUUCCAGGGGCAUCUGGUUGGUCACAGCAGGAAGCAGGAUGAUGGGAUAGAUGGACAUUUGGUCUUAUUCAGAGAGUAUUUCUAACGUUCUUAAUGUAUUAUAUAUGUCUAUGUAUUGUAGUCAUACACCUAAAAAAUGUAAAAUGCGAAUGCCACAAAUAACUGUUUGAAAACACUAGUAUUGUACAGUUGUGCUCAAUUAGAGAGGAGUGACUGGCUGUAACUCCCCACAUGGUGUACACAAACCUUUAUACGUUGCUGCAAAAUGUAUGAGAUGGCCCCUCAAGUCCUAACUGGUCUGGUUUCUGAGCUGCUUUUCGCCAUUUUUGAGAGUCAUUGUAGCAUCGCGGCCAAAAGGCAGCUGGAGGAUGCAAGGUUCACAACAAAUGCUGCUUCUGCCAUUAACCGUCAAGAUGGCCUUAGGCAGGACCACAAAGUCUACCUGCAAUAUGUGGAUAAUGAUACAGACCUGUCUUAUAGGGUUAGUGCAAUGAUUGUGCUGAAAAUGACUGGUUUGAAUGCUUAAAUAUGCAAGAUCUGUGCUAACAUUUAUUUUGAGAGAAGCUGUUGUCCCUCAGCCUUCCACCCACACUUACCAUGGCUUGAGAGCUAGUUUGCUACUUUUAGUUAGCAAAUCCACACGAGGACUGAUACGUGCCUGUGUCAAUCUAGGCCAUUCCUCAUCUUCCUGCGACUAGUUUCCAAUGUUCUGCAGACUUCCUAAUCAUUAGGAUCUAACCCCACUUGCAGUUGUGGUUUUCACACCUGAUUGUGUGUGAUGAAAUGGUUAGUACAGGACAGAAUAUACUGUGGGUUGUUGUUGUUUAUUUGAAGAAAUGAAAUAUGGAUUCUUUACGUACAUGGCACCAAUUUUGUGCCAAGAAAAGGUGCAUUUUGCAACUUAUAAGCAUUAUGCAAAUGUAACCUAUUAGCUUAUUUUGGAAUGUUUAUUAUGCUCCAGCUUGUCAUGGUAAAGGGCAAGAAAGGCAAUGGAAGUUAUUGACGCUGAAGCCCGGUCACUGAAAAUCUGGGUCAGCCAGAAUAAUCUCAGCCUUGAAGAUGUUUGGUGAAGUUUCAAAAACCAAUCUCUUCAUCUGUGAGGACUAAAUGUUUGCUUGGCGCUUGCCAAGCUGGAGAAAGUGAAUCGCCAUAGCAUGGUAUAAUUAGGUCUUAUAAAGGAAAAACAACAACACAGGAAAGGGGUGCACAGUAAAACAAUAUAGCAGCACAUGUUCUCCUGGGGAAUCAAAAAUAAAGAAAAACUUGAAGCUCAUUCACUUGGUCAAGAGUCAGGCCAAGGCUGUACAGUGGUACCUCAGCUUAAGUACUUAAUUCGUUCCGGAGGUCCGUUCUUAACCUGAAACUGUUCUUAACCUGAAGCACCACUUUAGCUAAUGGGGCUUCCUGCUGCUGCCACGCUGCCGGAGCCCGAUUUCUGUUCUCAUCCUGAAGCAAAGUUCUUAACCUGAAGCACUAUUUCUGGGUUAGUGGAGUGUGUAACCUGAAGCAUAUGUAACCUGAAGCGUAUGUAACCCGAGGUACCACUGUACUGAAAUCAGGGAGUCCAGGUGAAAAAGACAGGGUUUCCAAACCUUUUAACAGUUGUAUAGAAGAGGGAAUUUCAGCAAGUGAGUCAAUACCUCUUUCUACCCCUUUUUUAAACCCGGCCAUUCUAACUGAAAUCCCGACCCAGAGGUUUCCCAAGAAUAGGUUGCUUACGGUAAAUAGCUUGAACAAGCAUGCAGAAAGUACUGGUCUGAUCUCCAGGCAUGGUAUAUUUAUAUCAGGCAUAGCAAAUCCAGAAGCUUCAUAACACCUGCCAAUCAUAGGGGGGCAAUGUUUGCACUCACAUUUCCUUCUGCACCACGUGUGAUCUAAAUGGGCUAAGUGCACCCAAUCUGUAGUAACUUGCCAGGUUAGGUUCUAUUCUCAAAUCUGGUAUUGAUAUUCUCAGUCCCGCAGCUUACCAAAGUGGUUGUGUAAAGUGGCGAGGAGACGGGGCGGUGAUGGCAGAGUGAAAUGUGCUAAGCCUUUGCUCUCUAAUGGAACUUUUUUCCAGUUCCUGUACCCCAACAAGCUCUUCCAAAAUUAAGCCUCUUAAUGAUGCUGUUGUUUUCAUUUGUUUUUAUUUUAUACACAUUUGCUGCUGGCUUUAACAAGCUAAAUUGGGUCACAGAAAAGUGAUACCUUUAAUGAAAGAAAGUGGUUAAUGAAAGAAAAUAAACUGUGCGAAGAAGUGGCCAUUUUGCAAGAAAUAGCACCAAGUUCCCGUUUCAACCUCCAAGGGGACUUGGUGCUGCCCUUUCUGACUCCAGCCACACCAUGCUAAAAGCAUGCUUCAGUUUGAAGUUGUUAAUAUUCAGCUGGGAAACAGUAUCCAGAACACCAAUAAAUUAUUAAGCUUGUGAACUUUUUUAGGCAGUAAGAUGAACUGAUGAGGUCCAUCUAUGAGUUCCAGGGGUGUGUGUGUGUAAUGGUUUUGCCCUUUCUGACUUCCUAGCCUUUGGUCUGUGUCCAAGUGUAUGUAUAAUUGAUUCCAUAUGUGUGAUCAUUUUCUUGAUGGAAUUGCUUUGUAAGAUAUGAAGUGCCCUGACUCCUGCCCAAAACAUGACAACAGAGGCUCUAACUUGUGUGUAAGAGAGAGAUCUUUAUUUGGGCCAGUACAUCUACAGGCUCAGCAGCAGGCAGAAGCAAUGAAGGUGUCCCAAUAGGUUACCAUAUCCCUCCCGCCAACCUGAGACGGAAGGUGGGAACCUCCAUCUUUGGUUUCUACAAUUUAUCAUCCCUUCUGCUUCUUCCACAUUCUCCUCGUCGGUCUAAUCCCAAUCCUGACAAGGUCAUGGAUGUAUCUGAAGAUGCAUGAAAUGGAUAAACUGGCUAACAGGAAAUUUGGGAACAAUAAGGAAGUAAGCAUUUCCACCUAUGUGUUGGAGCAGUAGAAAGAGGCACCCAAUAUCAACUUGUUUAUUUUUUUAAAAGUUUGAACCAUUUCUCUUUCAUUGUCGGACUGCUAACCCAACAGUAUGAUGUACAGGGAUUUGUCCAAACUCCAGUAGAGCAGAUAGGAGAGCAUUUUUACUGGUUGUAGCUUCUGGUAUUUGUGAACAAUUGCCAUACGUGCUUUUCUGAUGCUAAAGAAUGAAAAUAUUACAAAGUCCUCCAAAGCAGAAUAAAGGCUUGCAUUUCUUUGUUACCUU